rnacentral:rRNA from 1 species
CACGGGGGGAGCAAGCGUUGUUCGGAAUCACUGGGCGUAAAGGGCGUGUAGGCGGUCAGGUAAGUGAGAUGUGAAAUGCCCCGGCUCACCCGGGGACCGGCAUCUCAUACUGCUUGGCUUGAGUACGGGAGAGGAUGUGGGGAAUUCCUGGUGUAGCGGUGAAAUGCGUAGAUAUCAGGAGGAACACCGGUGGCGAAGGCGCACAUCUGGCCCGAUACUGACGCUGAGGCGCGAAAGCUAGGGGAGCAAACGGG